GCGCGAUGGCUUUUGGUGAUUAACCCGCGGAGUACAACUCGAAGAUCCACGGACCUUACGAUCCUGCCCGACUACGCC
rnacentral:lncRNA from 1 species